CCUUCAAAGUGCUAUACUGUAUUGUUGACAGGUAACAGUAGCGGUGAGCUAGGUUGUGAUUGCUGUAGUUAUAGUAUUGCCUGCAGCUUUCUGUGGUUCCAGAGACACUCGAUCAUCUUAAAACAUGUCAUGAUUAGCUCUCAAGGUGUCCUUGUAGGUGUUGCUGCAACGGUUAGAGAUGUGCAGAGUACAUUCCAUGACAUCAGUGUUCCACUAUGUACAACUUCCAUUUUCAUUUAGUUCUUUUUCCGACCUUCUUGUAGUUGAAGUGGUGUGAAAUGAUUCAACUCUGACUCAAUGUUCAAACACACACAGACAGACACAAAGACAGACAGACAGACAGACAGACAGACAGACAGACAGACAGACUUCUUUCUUUCUUUCUUCCAGAAUAGAGCUGUCUCACAUCUGACUCCCACUAUCAGUCAAAUCUCUUAGUCACUCACUACUACUGUAGAUGAUGACAGAGCUAGAUCACGUUCCUACAUUUAGUCUCUAGUGUAUAUAUACAGUAUAUGGUGCACUACGGGCUCUGGUCAAAAGUAGUCCACUAUAAAGGGAAUAGGGUGCCAUGUGGGCUGCGUGCUGAAAGAAAGAAAGAAAGAAAGAAAGAAAGAAAGAAAGAAAGAAAGAAAGAAAGAAAGAAAGAAAGAAAGAAAGAAAGAAAGAAAGGACACUGCAGUGACCUAUAUUAACGGCUAUUAUGAGGCGCAGGUGUUUCCCUCUCUGGCAAUCUGAGAUCUGUCGUUGCUAGGAGACCUACCAACGGAUACAGGAAGAGAGAGAGAAGUGAGAAGGGGGAGAUAUUCAGAACACGCCGGAACACUUUAUCACACAUAGAAUCCUCUGGAAUGUCAUCUGUACAAGAGAGUGACGAGGAAAGGCCCUGCUCAAAAUUGAGUUUUCAAGGUGGCGAAAUUCAUCAUGACUACAAAGCAAGUCUGACAGCUAGCUAGUAAAAUGAAUGAACGUAUUUGUUGAUGGCUGAGCACCAUUUAUAACAACACUCAGACUACACGGACCUAAUUUGGAUUCACUUUUGUGCCAUUUCUAGCUAAUUGUUUAUACCGUCAAUCAGAGUAGCCAUAGUCCUUUGUACAGUUCAGUCCAUUAAAUGGCAAGAAAUGAUUAAUUACGUCUCACAAGCAUCUAAUUAACCUUUAGGCCUACAAGAGGGGAUAUAUUUACGAAGACACAGCUAACAAUAUAUACAUGUUGAAUUUGAAGCAGUAUUUUAACACAUUUAGAUUCAGAGUAACAUAUGACCUCUUUCUAUGACUGUUAUUCUCCAUUCUGCUGACUACAGUAUUAUAAUAUGCUUCACCGCUGAAGCAAUACUGCCCUCGCCUGGCCAAUACAGUCACUGCAUGUACACUCUGCUGUCGCUCUGGUCGUGUGGCCAGCCUUUCGUCCCAGAGAGAAAGAGUGCACAUUGACAAUAGUUACAUCUACAGUCACAGAUAGAAAGUAAUUCCAGGAAGUACCACCGCUUAUUCCAGAGUUGGUACUGGAUAACCUCUUAUUCCAGAGUUGGUAAUGGAUAAC
rnacentral:lncRNA from 1 species